GUGAAUCAUCAAAUUUUUGAACGCAAAUUGCACUCUCCGGUUUUCCGGGAGAGUAUGCCUGUUUGAGGGUCAGCCUAAAAAAAUCGACAUUGUUGCUGUUAUUUAAUGGUGACUUUCGUCGGAGAUUGGGUUAUCUUAAACCCUUUUUUUUUUUUUGGUUUAAGGGGUUUAAAAUUUUUUUUUCACUUUCCCUUAACUUUUUAAA
rnacentral:misc_RNA from 1 species